GGCACUGUGAAUUGGUCUGUUGAUGACAUUGUCAAAGGCAUAAAUAGCAACAAUUUGAAAACCAGCUCCAGGCAUCUCAAGCUGCUAGGAAACCACUUUCUAGGGAAAAAUAAGCCCCCAUACACAGUAUAUAAUCAGGGCUGGUUUGCUUCCAAAAUUUGUGUUCUUCUUGGGCAGAACUGAUCAUAGUCCCAUUCAGUUUGAAUCCGCUUGGUCCCUCACUAAAAUUGCUUCUGGAACAUCAGAAUAGACCAAUGCUGUGAUAGAUGGAGGUGUUACCCCCACCUUCCUUUCUCUGUAGGCAUCUCCCCAUGCCCGCCUCAGUGAACAAACUGUAUGGGUUCUAGGAAACCUUGCAGGUGAUGGUUCAGUUUCCUGAGACUUGGUUAUCAGGUAUGGGCAGUUGACCCCUGUUGGCUCUCCUUGCAAUUCCCAAUAUGUCAUCUUUAGCAUGUGGUUAUUUACGUCAUCAUACCUGGAUACUUUCAAACCUUUGUUGCAACAAGAAUCUUAUACCUACAUCUGAUGAAUGCUGUUGAGCAGAUUCUUCCUACCUUAGUUUGUCUUCUGCAUCAUGGCGAUCCAGAAGUAUUAGCAGAUACCUGCUGGGUCAUUUGCUACCUUACUAACGGCCCAAAUGAAUGUAUUGAAAUGGUUGUGAAAACAGGAGUUGUGCUCUAACUUAUGAAGUUUCUAGGAGCUGCUGAAUUGCCCAUUGUGACUCCUACACUAAAAGCCAUAGAAAAUACUGUCACUGGGACAGAUGAUCAGAUCUGUGUUGUCAUAGAUGCAGGAGCACUUGCUGUCUUCCCCAGCCUGCUAAUGAACCUCAAAUUAAUAUUCAAAAGGAAGCUAUAUGGACAAUGCCAAACAUCACAGCUGCUCACCAGGACCAGGUUUACACAAUCAGAUUGGAAAAAAAACAAUCAAUGGAUAGAGAACUCCAAAGAGGCUUUCAUCACAAUACAAUAUCACAAGUUACAGAAAUGGAUAUGAAACUGUACCUGCUGACCCUGGAUCCCAUACCCAGCCUGGCCAGACAGGCAGGGGAAUUUAUACUGAACGUUGUAAGCUUAAAAAAGGAACCAAUAGGGAUUAUUAAGUGGGGAAGUAAUAUAAUUAGAAAAGUGUAUUUAAAAUAAUGAGUUUGAUGAUGAUAUGCAGCUGGGAUUAAAGAAGAGGAAAAUUGAAGUCAGAUAGAUCAUUUAGAAGGGAAGCACAAUUAUCCAGAGGCUUAUGUGGGGCAGAUGAAGGGGCAGGUGUAGCAAAAAAUACAGGAUUUGGAAACAUUUUAAAGGAGAAAUAGAUAUAAAGUUGUUUGCCUAACAUCUCAAGACUAUUGAAAGAUUAACAUAGUCAAAGACUAUUCUAGAUUCUGAGAUUGGGUGACUGGAAAAAUUGAGUUGACCUUGAAAGGAUGGU
rnacentral:lncRNA from 12 species